CCUACGGGGGGCAGCAGUGGGGAAUAUUGGACAAUGGGGGCAACCCUGAUCCAGCCAUGCCGCGUGUGUGAAGAAGGCCCUCGGGUUGUAAAGCACUUUCAGUGAGGAAGAACGCCUGGUGGUUAAUACCCAUCAGGAAAGACAUCACUCACAGAAGAAGCACCGGCUAACUCCGUGCCAGCAGCCGCGGUAAUACGGAGGGUGCGAGCGUUAAUCGGAAUUACUGGGCGUAAAGCGCGCGUAGGUGGCUUGAUAAGCCGGUUGUGAAAGCCCCGGGCUCAACCUGGGAACGGCAUCCGGAACUGGCAAGCUAGAGUGCAGGAGAGGAAGGUAGAAUUCCCGGUGUAGCGGUGAAAUGCGUAGAGAUCGGGAGGAAUACCAGUGGCGAAGGCGGCCUUCUGGACUGACACUGACACUGAGGUGCGAAAGCGUGGGUAGCAAACAGGAUUAGAUACCCGAGUAGUC
rnacentral:rRNA from 1 species